UGACCCUUCCCCGUCUUCUUCCUUCUUUUUUUUUUUUUCUCUUCUUCUCCUACUUCAUCCCAAUACCCUAGCCUCCAUAGCCUCCCCCAUCUUUCUUUUUCUUUUUCUUUUCUUUCCUUUCAGAUCUGCAGUCGACCGCCGAUCGUCUCGAUCUUCCAUUGAAGUUGAACGUCGUCGUCGUCGUCGGUUGGUGUCAUCGGCGUCACGUCCCUCUCACCUUCUCGUUCUUCCGGCUACGUCUACACCGGUCUCCAUUCGUGAAGUCCAGCCGCCCGUGAUUUUCGUCACAUUUCGUUCACCGAAACUGAAACCCAGUCGCCACAUUUCUUUCUUCUUUGAAUCUAAACCGCCGCGCCCAUCCGCCUGUAACCGCCGUGUCUCUCCGUGCCGUUGUCCAGAUCUGCAACGCCGUGUCCCCAUCGGUAGCCCCGUCCCAACGCCGUGUCCCCACCCGUAGCCCCGUCCCAAUAGUUUUGCCGACGCUCGUCGUUCAGAUACGAGCCGUGUAGCAUCCAACAGUUGUGCAUCGUGAAGUCCUCAUCUGUCGCGCAACUCCCCGUUUUCCCAGUCGCGGGUCUGACGUCCAUCUUUAUUGUAGUGCAUAUCUGUUUUGCACGCAUCAAUUUCAUUCGAUUGUCGCUGAUUCUAUUUUAUUGUCAAUCGUCAAAGUUAUGUUGUGAUUUCAUUGGUGAUAUUGGAGAGUCGUGCUUGGAUAUCUAUGUUUCGAAGUGAGCUUCAUUGGAAUUGUUGUUUCAUUCUACUUGGAAUUUAAUUUAUUGGAUUUAGUACGAUUAAAGAACUUUACCGUAAACUUGAGGUAAGGGACUUUCUACUGGACUCACCUAAAGUUUUCAGUUGUGUUGGACGAUAUCCUUAUAUCGAAACUUAGUAAAGAUGAUGGUUAUGAUAUA